rnacentral:rRNA from 1 species
GAUGAACGCUGGCGGCGUGCCUAAUACAUGCAAGUCGAGCGAACGGACGAGAAGCUUGCUUCUCUGAUGUUAGCGGCGGACGGGUGAGUAACACGUGGAUAACCUACCUAUAAGACUGGGAUAACUUCGGGAAACCGGAGCUAAUACCGGAUAAUAUUUUGAACCGCAUGGUUCAAAAGUGAAAGACGGUCUUGCUGUCACUUAUAGAUGGAUCCGCGCUGCAUUAGCUAGUUGGUAAGGUAACGGCUUACCAAGGCAACGAUGCAUAGCCGACCUGAGAGGGUGAUCGGCCACACUGGAACUGAGACACGGUCCCGACUCCUACGGGAGGCAGCGGUAGGGAAUCUUCCGCAAUGGGCGAAAGCCUGACGGAGCAACGCCGCGUGAGUGAUGAAGGUCUUCGGAUCGUAAAACUCUGUUAUUAGGGAAGAACAUAUGUGUAAGUAACUGUGCACAUCUUGACGGUACCUAAUCAGAAAGCCACGGCUAACUCCGUG